rnacentral:rRNA from 1 species
CUUUACUAUAACUUGGCCCUGAAACCCGGAUUGAUCUGUGUAGGAUAGGUGGGAGACUUUGAAGCUUUGGCGCUAGCCAGAGUGGAGUCAACCUUGAAAUACCACCCUGAUUAAUCUGUGUUUCUAACCCAGUCCCCUUAUCGGGGACGGGAACACGGUCUGGUGGGUAGUUUGACUGGGGCGGUCGCCUCCCAAAUUGUAACGGAGGCGCACAAGGGUUCCCUCAGCCUGGACGGAAAUCAGGCGUAGAGUGUAUUGGCACAAGGGAGCUUGACUGUGAGACUGACAGGUCGAGCAGGUGCUAAAGCAGGUCAAAGUGAUCCGGCGGUUCCGAAUGGAAGGGCCGUCGCUCAACGGAUAAAAGGUA